UCUACCAUGCAGUCGACGGUAACAGGAAGCAAGCUUGCUUCUUUGCUGACGAGUGGCGGCACGGGUGAGUAAUGUCUGGGAAACUGCCUGAUGGAGGGGGAUAACUACUGGAAACGGUAGCUAAUACCGCAUAACGUCGCAAGACCAAAGAGGGGGACCUUCGGGCCUCUUGCCAUCGGAUGUGCCCAGAUGGGAUUAGCUAGUAGGUGGGGUAACGGCUCACCUAGGCGACGAUCCCUAGCUGGUCUGAGAGGAUGACCAGCCACACUGGAACUGAGACACGGUCCAGACUCCUACGGGAGGCAGCAGUGGGGAAUAUUGCACAAUGGGCGCAAGCCUGAUGCAGCCAUGCCGCGUGUAUGAAGAAGGCCUUCGGUUGUAAAGUACUUUCAGCGGGGAGGAAGGGAGUAAAGUAAUACCUUU
rnacentral:rRNA from 1 species